GAUGAACGCUGGCGGCAUGCCUAAGACAUGCAAGUCGAACGAAGUGGCCCAUUGAAGAUGGAGUGCUUGCACAAAGUCAGAUUUGGUUACCACUUAGUGGCAGACGGGUGAGUAACACGUGGGUAACCUACCUCAAAGACUGGGACAACAGUUGGAAACGACUGCUAAUACCGGAUAAUCCAUAUUUAGAUAACUAGAUAUGUUAAAAGAAGCGUUUGCUUCACUUUGAGAUGGGCUUGCGCGCAUUACGAUAGUUGUGGGGUAAUGGCCUACCAAGUCGACGAUGCGUAUCCGAGCUGAGAGGCUGAUCGGACACACUGGGACUGAG
rnacentral:rRNA from 1 species